AGCGAACGCUGGCGGCAGGCUUAACACAUGCAAGUCGAGCGGGCGUAGCAGUACGUCAGCGGCAGACGGGUGAGUAACGCGUGGGAACGUACCUUUUGGUUCGGAACAACAGAGGGAAACUUGUGCUAAUACCGGAUAAGCCCUUACGGGGAAAGAUUUAUCGCCGAAGGAUCGGCCCGCGUCUGAUUAGCUAGUUGGUGAGGUAACGGCUCACCAAGGCGACGAUCAGUAGCUGGUCUGAGAGGAUGAUCAGCCACAUUGGGACUGAGACACGGCCCAAACUCCUACGGGAGGCAGCAGUGGGGAAUAUUGGACAAUGGGCGCAAGCCUGAUCCAGCCAUGCCGCGUGAGUGAUGAAGGCCCUAGGGUUGUAAAGCUCUUUUGUGCGGGAAGAUAAUGACGGUACCGCAAGAAUAAGCCCCGGCUAACUUCGUGCCAGCAGCCGCCGCCGUAA
rnacentral:rRNA from 1 species